rnacentral:rRNA from 1 species
GACGAACGCUGGCGGCAUGCCUAAUACAUGCAAGUCGAGCGAACAGAUGAAGUGCUUGCACUUCUGACGUUAACGGCGAACGGGUGAGUAACACGUAAGGAAUCUACCUAUAAGCGGGGGAUAACAUUCGGAAACGGGUGCUAAUACCGCAUAAUAUCUUCUUCCGCAUGGAAGAAGAUUGAAAGACGGCUCUGCUGUCACUUAUAGAUGACCUUGCGGUGCAUUAGUUAGUAGGUGGGGUAACGGCCUACCAAGACGAUGAUGCAUAGCCGACCUGAGAGGGUGAUCGGCCACAUUGGGACUGAGACACGGCCCAAACUCCUACGGGAGGCAGCAGUAGGGAAUCUUCCGCAAUGGGCGAAAGCCUGACGGAGCAAUGCCGCGUGAGUGAAGAAGGCCUUCGGGUCGUAAAACUCUGUUAUAAGAGAAGAACAAAUUGUAGAGUAACUGCUACAGUCUUGACGGUAUCUUAUCAGAAAGCCACGGCUAACUACGUGCCAGCCGCCGCGGUAA